GCCGGCCUAGCUCAAUCGGUAGAGCGUGUGACUCUUAAAAAGGAAAUAAUCACAAGGUUGCGGGUUCGAGCCCCGCGGUUGGUU